GUCCACGCUGUAAACGAUGGGUGCUGGGUGUCGCGGGUAUUGACCCCCGCGGUGCCGUAGCCAACGCGUUAAGCACCCCGCCUGGGAAGUACGGCCGCAAGGCUAAAACUCAAAGGAAUUGACGGGGGCCCGCACAAGCAGUGGAGCAUGUGGUUUAAUUCGACGCAACGCGCAGAACCUUACCCGGGCUAGAAAAGCAUGGAACCCUUUAGAAAUAUCGGGGUGCUCGCAAGAGAACCAUGAUCCAGGUGCUGCAUGGCUGUCGU
rnacentral:rRNA from 1 species